GGGUGCAGCUACUUCAUGUUCUGUAAGAAAUAUGAGGACGAGCCAGAUUUUGUGGAGGUGUUUUUCCAAACAGAAAUAGAGGAUAUUGGCCUAGAAGACAAGACCCGACGUAUCAUAGCAGCUAAUACUAUGCUCGAAGCAAAAGAUAGUGGGGUAGACACAACCCGUCCUUACAGUUCAAGAGGAUCUGUCACAAUUUAUUUUUCCUUUUGGGGCGUAGGGUUUAAGAUUUACGCUAAGAUGUAACCCAAAGCAGCUUCAUCGGUCAUUGUUCAUCUCUAAGAUGUACUCGCACCAGUACUGAUGUAGUAUAAAUUGUUUCUAUCACGCUUCCCAUGUAAUACACACAUUGAUAUGCAGUAUUGUGGCUGCCUUCAAUGAACUAGUGAAAACAUAAAAAUGUGUUAGCUGAGCU
rnacentral:lncRNA from 1 species